rnacentral:pre_miRNA from 14 species
AGGACAUAUAUAUACACAGAUAUAUGUAUAUAUAAAUGAAAGACCCCCGGAGUGGGGAGGCUCUCACUCAAGUCUCGGGAUGAUGCAACCCCCCAAGAACUCACAAGAGACC